GUUGACUGUGGAAUUAAAAUCAAUGCCGCUUAGUCCAAAUGACUAUCAUAAUUUUUCUGUCAAAUCUUUAAACUAACUUUUUACUCACUUUUUGGCAUUUUAUCGACAAAGUAUUUUCAAGUGAAGGGUUUGUCUUGAUUUGUGUUUUAUAUUUCCGUGACUGUGUUGUGUAUUCUUUCGUUUUUGAAUUCGAAGCAUUUUUGCAUUACCGGGUGCUCAAAAAUCGGCGCACCAACUCAACGGAGUGUGGUAGAGAAUUGCUUACACAUAAAGGUAAAAAUAGUAAAAAAAAUUUUUGUAUUAAACUUAUAGAUAAAUAACGAAUUUUAAAUAAAUGAUAUGUGGCAACGUUGUGUAACAGUCGUGAUCGCAAUAGAACUUGAUCAACUAUAAAAAUUAGUAAUUUUUGUAUUAAGUGCGCGAAAUGAGUGUUUUUUUAAUGGCGCCUGAGAAUGUUAUUUUAGUCGAGACCGCCAGGUCGAGACCUAAAAGACAUUCGAAGGCGCCAUUAAAACAUGAAUUUCGCCACGAAAUACAAACAACGUUUUUUCUACAGCCUCCAGAUGAAGAAAAAAGUAACAGAAAUUAGUUGGAACAAAAUGGUCUGAUAAAUCGAGUUGCUUGCAUGGUUACGAUGAUAAAUAAAAGUGAUAGUUGCGAAAAAUUUGUCACAAUAGGUAUUUUUGUUGAAGAAGUGUGAUGGAUUUUAGCAGCGAAAACGAAAUAGAUGCAAUUGCAAGCGCGGCAGUGUCGAAUCUUUUGCCUGCUAAAUCAAGACCGCAGUACGAAAAAACGUAUCUUCAGUUUCGGCAGUGGUGUUCUAUGAAAAAGAUUGAUCAAGUAACGGAAAAUGUUUUGUUGGCGUAUUUGGAAGAAAAGUCUACCACCUUAAAGCCACCAACACUCUGGGCCCUUUAUGCGAUGUUGAAAGCCACCUUAAACGUUAAAGAGAAUAUCGAUACACAAGCAAGAAGUCGCAAAUUUUAGACAAAGAAGACAUUAGCAAGUUUAUUAAUGAAGCAGAUGACAAGAUAUAUUUACUGAUGAAGGUAAACUUAUCAUAUUAGUGUAAUACAAAUCAAAACAACUCGUUUUAUUUAUAGACUGUGCUAAUUUUGGGUAUAUCGGGAGCCCUUCGACGUGAAGAAUUAGUUAAAAUGAAGCUAACUGACAUAGAAGAUAAACAGUCUGUCUUAAUUGUGAAGGUGCCUGAUACAAAAACCCACUGCGAACGAAUAUUUACUGUUUCAAAUUUAGAAAAUAUAGAAAUUGUCAGAAAAUAUAGAGCUUUGCGGCCUCCACGGGCGACUAGUGACCGUUUAUUUUUAAAGUAUACCAACGGAAAAUGUGUGAAUCAAAAUGUUGGAAUUAACAAAAUCGGAGAGAUACCAAGUUUGAUUGCAAAGUGGCUUAACAAAGACGAACCUAAAAAAUAUACUGGUCACUGCUUCAGAAGAAGCUCUGCCACUCUUUUGGCGAAUGCUGGAGGUGAUCUAAUUUCAAUUAAACGUCAUGGGGGCUGGAGAAGCAGCACAGUGGCAGAAAGUUACAUCGAGGACUCUUUGAAUAAUAAAAUUGAAAUUGCCAAUAAAAUUCAACCUUCUUCCUCCACAGAAGAAAACAAAAUCACUCAACCUUCUACAUCGGCUUCUUUUAAUGGCGAAAAUAACUUUCAUUUACAAGCGUCUUCACUCAGGCCUCUGGGGAUAAACGGGGGCACGUUUUCGUCAUGCACAUUUAAUUUUCAUAUGUCAAAGUAAAUAUCUAUUAUUAUUGUUUUGUAAUAUUGUUCUGUAUAAUUAUAAAACCUUUAAAACUA